rnacentral:rRNA from 1 species
GAUGAACGCUGGCGGCGUGCCUAAUACAUGCAAGUCGAGCGAACGGACGGGAAGCUUGCUUUUCUGAUGUUAGCGGCGGACGGGUGAGUAACACGUGGAUAACCUACCUAUAAGACUGGGAUAACUUCGGGAAACCGGAGCUAAUACCGGAUAAUAUUUUGAACCGCAUGGUUCAAAAGUGAAAGACGGUCUUGCUGUCACUUAUAGAUGGAUCCGCGCUGCAUUAGCUAGUUGGUAAGGUAACGGCUUACCAAGGCAACGAUGCAUAGCCGACCUCAGAGGGUGAUCGGCCACACUGGAACUGGACCGCGCUCCAGACUCCUACGGGAGGCAGCAGUAGGGAAUCUGCCGCAGUGGUGGAGAACCUUGCGGAGCAAGGCCGAGUGAGUUAUAAAGAUCUUCGGAUCGUAAAACUCUGUUAUUAGGUAUAAACAGAUGUGUACGUAACUGUGCACAGCGUGACGGUACCUAAUAAGAAAGCCACGGCUAACUACGUG